CCCGCCAGUGGCUGCCGACGUGGGUCUGCCGGCUGCGGGAGGUUAGCUGUGAGUGGCUGUGGAGCGGGCGGCGGGCAUGGGUGGCCUGCGGCUGCUGGCGGUAGCCCUCACGUGCUGCUGGUGGCCGCAGGGCAGCCAGGCCAAGACCCUGCGGGGCAGCUUCAGUAGCGCCGCGGCCCGCAACGCUCAGGGCCAGAGCAUCGGCCACUUCGAGUUCCACGGUGACCAUGCCCUUCUGUGUGUCAGAAUCAACAACAUAGCAGUAGCUCUUGGCAAAGAAGCUAAACUCUACCUAUUCCAAGCCCAGGAAUGGCUAAAACUGCAGGAGAGCAGUCCUGGCUAUAGUUGUAGUGAAAAAUUAUCCAGAGCUCAGUUGACAAUGACAAUGAACCAGACUGAACAUAAUCUGACUGUGUCCCAGAUUCUGUCUCCCCAAACGUGGCAUGUGUUUUAUGCAGACAAGUAUACCUGCAUAGACAACAAAGAAAACUCUCAAGUGGAAGACAUCCCCUUUGAAAUGGUGUUACUGAACCCAGAUGCUGAAGGGAAUCCAUUGGAUCAUUUUAGUGCUGGAGAAUCUGGGUUACAUGAGUUCUUUUUCCUCCUAGUCCUAGUAUACUUUGUGAUUGCUUGCAUUUAUGCUCAGUCAUUGUGGCAGGCUAUUAAGAAAGGAGGACCCAUGCACAUGAUAUUAAAGGUUCUGACAACUGCAUUGCUGUUACAAGCUGGUUCAGCUUUAGCUAAUUACAUUCAUUUCUCCAGGUACUCCAAAGAUGGAAUAGGGGUACCUCUUAUGGGAAGUUUUGCAGAAGUUUUUGACAUUGCCUCUCAGAUUCAGAUGUUAUACCUACUUCUGAGUCUCUGCAUGGGCUGGACAAUAGUCAGAAUGAAGAAAUCUCAAAGCAGACCUCUCCAAUGGGACUCUACCCCUGCGUCCACAGGCAUUGCAGUGUUCAUUGUUGUAACACAGAGUAUUUUGCUGCUUUGGGAACAGUUUGAAGAGACAAGUCAUCACAGCUCACAUUCACACCACAGCUUAGCAGGAAUCCUGCUCAUUGUUCUAAGGAUUUGCCUAGCAUUGUCAUUGGGCUGUGGACUCUAUCAGAUCAUCACAAUGGAGAGGAGCACACUCAAGAGAGAGUUCUAUAUCACAUUUGCCAAAGGCUGUAUCUUGUGGUUCUUAUGCCAUCCAGUUCUUGCUUGCAUUUCUGUCAUUUUUAGCGACUACCAAAGAGAAAAGGUUAUUACAAUAGGUGUUAUCCUUUGCCAGUCUGUUUCCAUGGUUAUUCUCUACAGACUCUUCCUGUCCCAUAGUCUAUACUGGGAAGUUUCUUCACUUUCAUCAGUAACACUACCACUGACAAUUUCAUCAGGACACAAAAGUCGCCCUUAUUUCUGAUACUUGAUUUUUGUUGAAAGGACAAGUGAUUGAAUGAAAGUGCAAUAAGGAAAAUACAGUGACUCUUUUCAUGUGUUUGAUAUGAAAAAGUGAAAGCCAAGUGUGUUAUUUAUAUAACUGCAUUUCAGCAGUACCAAAACUCAGAAAAGAGGGUCAUCGCUACAGAUUACAGAAAGAUGAAAACUUUUCUAAUUUAUUUCUCCUGUCAGAUAAUACUUUCUUUUUUACAUUUUUACAUUUUUUUCCCAUAAAGAGAAAUGGUCUGCUGACACCUUUAAGAAGCAUUUCUUCUAAGAAGACAUGAAGAUGUUUCUUUUUAUUGGCAUAUAUAACAAUAUGAAUACUUAAUGUUUAUCAGGACAUUUUAGCUUUAUUAUAACUAAGCCCUGAUGCAGUAGCCAAGUUCCCAUUUAACUGAGUAGGAAA